AGAGUUAAAUAGUACGUGAAAUUGUUGAAAGGGAAACGAUUGAAGUCAGUCAUGCUAGUGAAAAUUCAGUUUGGUGGGUUUUGGGUCAGGAGUUGAGGCAGGGUCAAACCGUUUCUCUUUUGAACUUGGAAUUUGUCAGAUGCACUUUUUCUUUGGCAGGUUAGCGUCGAUUUCGGAGGUUGUAAAAUACUUGGGGAAAAGUAGCUCUGCUUCGGGAGAGUGUUAUAGACCUUGGAGGAUGCAGCCUGUGGGAUCGAGGAUUGCAGCAAAUGCCUUUGGCUUGUCGCCUGAUCUCUGGUCGUUACCUCACUUGUGACAACAUUCUUGCCACCGGCGGGUACUAAUGGCUAUUAGGUUAGAACGAUCAAAAAUAUUGCUAAGGAUGCUGACGUAAUGGCUUUAAACGACC
rnacentral:rRNA from 1 species